CUUGCUUGUGUGAACAAAAGGGGGAACAAAGCAUGAAACAACUGAUAAUCCUUUUCUCCUUGAGCAUAGAAUGUGUUGUAUUACCUGAAGAGAGACACUGUAUUUUAGAAUGAAGCAGCUCUAUAAAGGUAUUGACCUUGCAUCAACAUUUCUAGAAUUCAUAAAUAUUUUAUUUUAGUCCACAGGUCAUUUGCAAUUAACACUGUUUUCCAGUCCAGAACCAAAGGUGGGAAAUGAGAAGAUUUUUAGCCUGGCUUCUGCCUGCAGAAUGUCUCACCAAACUGUUCAAAACUCAAUCCCCAAAUUGUUCUUUCACCUCUUCAGCCAAUUUCAGAACCUGAACUGUAUUUUUAAAUGCUCAACUGAGCUUUUGAGUUAUUGCAAUUUGGAGAUAGAAGGAAAUUUGUGAACUAAAGAAACCAUCUAACAGGGGAGCUGCAAAGGAGAGGACGGAGAUCAAUCUGCCAUAAUGACACGCUGGAGACCAGAGGGCGAAAUGCAAACUUGGAGCAAUUUCAUGGCAGGUGCAACCUUGGAAAGAAUGGACAUUUUUCGGAGUUAAUUUGUUCCCUUGACAUAUUUGAAAUCCAUAUUUGUACUUUAAAGGUCCAAAAUACAAACUGAUUAAAAACAUAGUCAGAGAUUACAAGCAUUUCAACCAUAUCC
rnacentral:lncRNA from 11 species